AUUGAACGCUGGCGGCAGGCCUAACACAUGCAAGUCGAGCGGCAGCACGGUGCUUGCUUCUUGAUACAGCGGCCGACGGGUGGAUGAGUGCUAAAAACCUGCCUGUUAACGUGUGCUUAGGUCCGGACACAGGGGCACAUACGGCAAUAGUCCAUAGGGCCUACGGGGGGAAUCUUGGGAUCUCACGCCCUCACAUGAGCCUAGGUCGCAUUAGCUAGUUGGUGGGGUAAAGGCCUACCAAGGCGACGAUCCGUAACUGGUCUGAGAGGAUGAUCAGUCACACUGGAACUGAGACACGGUCCAGACUCCUACGGGAGGCAGCAGUGGGGAAUAUUGGACAAUGGGCGAAAGCCUGAUCCAGCCAUGCCGCGUGUGUGAAGAAGGUCUUCGGAUUGUAAAGCACUUUAGGUUGGGAGGAAGAGCAGUAAGUUAAUACCUUGCUGUUUUGACGGUACCAACAGAAUAAGCACCGGCUAACUUCGUG
rnacentral:rRNA from 1 species